GGGGCGCCUCUCGCGCCGCGCGUCUCUCGCUACUUUUCUCGCCCGGCCGCCGCCCCUCCCCCUCCGAGGGUGGAGGACGCCGCGGAGCUUGGGCCGCCCGGAUCAAGAUGGCGGCCGGCGCCCACCCCUGGGCUUUGUCAUUGGACGGCGCCUCACCCCCAGGUCCUGCACAGCCACUGCUGUCUCUGUCACCACCAUCCCUGAAGAUGACCACACCACCAUCUUGGGUGCAUUGUAUGCUUCCCAUUUUUUUGUGUGGAUCUGGUCCAUUAAGAAGACUGAAAUGUGCAUCCUUUGGGUGUGCUUAACACAAAGCUCUACAAAGCUCUCCAAGGUUAGUCUGCCAGACUGUGUCUCCUGUGGAUGAAAUUGGCUGCACUUGAAUGAGCAAUGAUGUAUGAAGACCUUUAAAAAGAACAGGACCCAUGAUAGAACUUGAGCACUAUUUUGAGCAUUGAACCCUUUGUGUUGCAAUGGAGAAAACUCCACCAAGUCAAAUGAGAGCACAAGUAUAUACCAUCGAGCUUUAUCUAAGCAGCAAAGAUAUACAAAGAAGAAUAUAUAUGAGCUUAUAUAAUGAAGUUUUAGUGGGCUUUCAUGAACAAGUCAAGCCAAAUCACAAGUGAGAAGCCUACCAUCUGUUCAGCCGGCCUGGGAUUCAGGCAGACAGUGGACUGGCAAGCACCCUGGGAGACUGAGGUAGGAGGUGGCCUGAGGAGACAAGAGAGGAACAAGGAUCUAGAACCAGCCUUCAGCCUGGCUUUUGGUAGAAAACCUGAAGUCACCCUCUUCCCCAAGUUUGGGGAACUUGCUCUGAGGGCGAAGUCUUCACUGGCUUUCUGA
rnacentral:lncRNA from 1 species